UCCCUAGAAUGGCGCCAUACUUAAUGAUUGGUCAUUCCUUACUAGUUAAUGAGUUUCAGAUUCUUAAGUAUGAUGUUGUGUUUGCAUAUUAGUCUAGAUUUUCUAGACUGAGUAACUGAGAAGUUACUCAUUUCACUUCCUGUAUAUUUUUAUAAACUCUAUUUAGUUUAUAUGCCACUUAAACUUUUAAGUGGCAUUUUUUU
rfam:Gallibacterium anatis TMN179, complete genome.